AACGUAGGUGGCGAGCGUUAUCCGGAUUUACUGGGCGUAAAGGGUGUGCAGGCGGGCUGUUAAGUGGUGCAUGAAAUCUCCGCGCUUAACGUGGAGAGGCUGUGCCAGACUGGCAGUCUAGAGUACGAGAGAGGGUUGUGGAAUUCCGGGUGUAGUGGUGAAAUGCGUAGAUAUCAAGAGGAACACCAGUGGCGAAGGCGAGUCCCUGGACGAUACCUGACACUGAGGCACGAAAGCUAGGGGAGCAAACAGG
rnacentral:rRNA from 1 species